UUCCGGUUGAUCCUGCCGGAGGUCACUGCUAUCGGUGUUCGACUAAGCCAUGCGAGUCAAAUGUUCUUCGUGAACAUGGCGUACUGCUCAGUAACACGUGGAUAACCUGCCCUUAGGUCUGGCAUAACCCCGGGAAACUGGGGAUAAUUCCGGAUAGAUCAUGGAUGCUGGAAUGCACCGUGGUCGAAAGCUUUUGUGCCUAAGGAUGGGUCUGCGGUCUAUCAGGUUGUAGUGGGUGUAACGUACCUACUAGCCUACGACGGAUACGGGUUGUGGGAGCAAGAGCCCGGAGAUGGAUUCUGAGACAUGAAUCCAGGCCCUACGGGGCGCAGCAGGCGCGAAAACUUUACAAUGCGGGAAACCGCGAUAAGGGGACACCGAGUGCCAGCAUCCUAUGUUGGCUGUCCAUAUGUAUAAAUAACAUGCGUUAGCAAGGGCCGGGCAAGACCGGUGCCAGCCGCCGCGGUAACACCGGCGGCCCGAGUGGUGGCCACUAUUAUUGGGUCUAAAGGGUCCGUAGCCGGUUUGGUCAGUCUUCCGGGAAAUCUGACGGCUUAACCGUUAGGCUUUCGGGGGAUACUGCCAGGCUUGGGACCGGGAGAGGUAAGAGGUACUACGGGGGUAGGAGUGAAAUCUUGUAAUCCCUGUGGGACCACCAGUGGCGAAGGCGUCUUACCAGAACGGGUCCGACGGUGAGGGACGAAAGCUGGGGGCACGAACCGGAUUAGAUACCCGGGUAGUCCCAGCCGUAAACUAUGCUCGCUAGGUGUCAGGGACGGUGCGACCGUUUCUGGUGCCGUAGGGAAGCCGUGAAGCGAGCCACCUGGGAAGUACGGUCGCAAGGCUGAAACUUAAAGGAAUUGGCGGGGGAGCACUACAA
rnacentral:rRNA from 1 species